rnacentral:lncRNA from 1 species
UGCACUGGAAAUAAAAUAAGGCUUUAGCCUCAAAUUUUGACUCAAUCAUUUUGCAGGUGCCAAAAACACAAACCAGAUCAACUGCACGAGGAACGACUCGGAGGAUGAAGACGAUGAUUAUGAAAAUGCAGAGAAAGAAGGUUUAUUCGAUUCUGAUGAUGACUACAUCAAUGUAGCUGCUGAAGAGGAGGAGACAGAAAUUCAGUGUAUAGGAGCCAAAAACACAAACAAGACUACUUGCCUCAUGAAGAACACGGAGACAACUGUUCCAGAAAAAGAGGAUUCAGAUGAGACUGAUGAUGACUACAUCAACGUAGAUGAAACAGAAGCACAAAAUCAGUGUGCAGGUGAAUAAUGUAACGUAAUUGUGGCUUGUGGAAAACAUUAUAACAAUUUUGUGUCAACAUUGGUUAAAUA